GAUGAACGCUAGCGACAGGCUUAACACAUGCAAGUCGAGGGGCAGCAUGAGACGGAGAUUCGUCGAAGUCUUGAUGGCGACCGGCGCAAGGGUGCGUAACGCGUGAGCAACCUGCCUUGUACAGGGGGAUAACAGUUGGAAACGACUGCUAAUACCGCAUAAGAUCGUAGUACCGCAUGGUACAGCGACCAAAACUCCGGUGGUACAAGAGGGGCUCGCGUCCCAUUAGCUAGUUGGUGAGGUAACGGCCCACCAAGGCGACGAUGGGUAGCCGGCUCGAGAGGGUGAACGGCCACAUUGGGACUGAGACACGGCCCAGACUCCUACGGGAGGCAGCAGUGGGGAAUAUUGCACAAUGGAGGAAACUCUGAUGCAGCAACGCCGCGUGAGUGAAGAAGGCUUUCGAGUCGUAAAACUCUGUGAUCGGGGACAAGAUAGAGAUGGUACCCGAAGAGGAAGCUCCGGCUAACUACGUGCCAGCAGCCG
rnacentral:rRNA from 1 species